rnacentral:rRNA from 1 species
GAUGAACGCUGGCGGCGUGCCUAAUACAUGCAAGUCGAGCGAACAGAUGCGGAGCUUUCUCCUCUUACGUUAGCGGCGGACGGGUGAGUAAGACAUGCGUAACCUACCUGUAAGACUGGGGUAACUUCGGGAAACCAGACCUAGUACAGACUAACUAUUUGAACGGCAUGGUUCAAUAAUAAAAGACAGUGUUGCUUUCACUAAUAGAUGGCUCCGCGCCUCAUUAGCUAGUUGGUAAGGUAACGGCUUACCAAGGCAACGAUGAGUAGCCGACCUGAGAGGGUGAUCGGUAACACGGGAGAUGGGAUACGCGCCAGCAUCCGAAGGGAGGCAGGACCAGGGAAUCUUCCGCAGAGGGCGGAAGGGUAACGGACCCAAGCCGCGUGAGUCAUGAAGAUCUUCGGAUCGUAAAACUCUGUUAUUAGGGAAUAAUAAAUGUGUAAGUAACUAUGCACGUCUUGACGGUACCUAAUCAGAAAGCCACGGCUAACUACGUG